ACGGCUCAGUAACACGUAGCUAACUUGCCCUCAAGCCCGUAAUAUCUUCGGGAAACUGAAGUUAAGGACGGAUAAUUGAUAAUUUCUGGAAUGAUUUAUCGAUGAAAGCUUGCGUGAGGAUGGGGCUGCGGCUGAUUAGGUAGUUGGCGGGGUAACUGCCCACCAAGCCUAUGAUCAGUAAGGGCCUUUAGCGAGGAAGCCCUGAGAGGGAGUCUGAGACACUACUCCCAGCCCUACGGGGUGCAGCAGUCGGGAAAAUUCUGCAAUGUACGAAAGUAUGACAGAGCAAGCCAAAGUGCUUUCCUUUUUUUGGAAAGCUUUUGUGAGCUGUAAAAAGGCUUACGAAUAAGGACUGGGCAAGACCGGUGCCAGCCGCCGCGGUAAUCCCGGCAGUCCAAGUCGCAGCCACAUUUGUUGGGUCUAAAACAUCCGUAGCUUGCUUUGUAAGUCUUUUGUGAAAUCGGGACUCUUAAGGUUCCGGCGUGCAAAAGAUACUGCUUAGCUAGAGACCGGAAGACGCACUGAGUACGGAUAGGGUAGUGGUAAAAUACGUUGAUCCUCUCCGGACUAACAACAGCGAAGGCACGGUGCGAGCACGGUUCUGACAGUGAGGGAUGAAGGCUAGGGGCGCAAAGUGGAUUAGAUACCCAUGUAGUCCUAGCAGUAAACACUGCACACUAAACAUUGGUGCCUCUCCGUGAGGCAUCAGUGCUGUACCGAAGGGGGAAAGUGUGCUACCUGGGAAGUAUAGUCGCAAGACCGAAACUUAAAGGAAUUGGCGGGGGAGCAC
rnacentral:rRNA from 1 species